GUCUACGGCCAUACCACUCUGAACGCGCCCGAUCUCGUCUGAUCUCAGAAAAUGAGAGAAGUGGUUGGAAGUGGGGAGGCAUUGUGACCAGUAGGUGAAGUCA
rnacentral:rRNA from 1 species